GCUCUCUUAGCUCAGUUGAUAAAGCACUUCACUUGUAACGUGGGGUCACAAGUUCAAACCUUGUAGAGAGCA
rfam:Lactococcus garvieae Lg2 DNA, complete genome.